rnacentral:rRNA from 1 species
UACAGAGGGGGCAAGCGUUAUUCGGAAUUUAUUGGGGCGGUAAAGGGCGCGUAGGCGGCUUGGCAAGUGGGAUGGUGAAAUCCCUCGGCUUAAACCGAGGAACUGCCGUCCAAAACUGCUUCGCUUGAGACCGGGGAGAGGUGGAGUGGAAUUCCCAGUGUAGCGGUGAAAAUGCGUAGAUAUUUGGGGAGGAACACCAGUGGGCGAA